UCGCGUGCGCAUCGUUUGAGAGUCGCAGGUGCGAAACAUAAAAUUCGAUGAACUUAGCAAGUGAAUAUAUGUUGUGAUUACAGUGAAUAAAUAUGAAUGAGUCUGUGGCAUCUGGACGAGAGUGCAAUUGUGAAAUAUGCUAAGCUCGCAAUUGUGUGCGUAAAGAACAAGGCAAAGCAACCAAUUUGAGGGGCACCCCGCAUUAGCCCAACCACUGAACAGACCUGACUUGUUUCUUAAAGCAAACUAAACAUAAUAAGCAAAAGCGGCAGCA